CCCAGUAGUAGUCAGCUGUUGGGACAGAACCAUUCCUGUGAUGGUGUUACACUCCCAGAAGAGGAAUGUCUUGUCGUCUUUAUCCAGUUGUAUCCAUCACUGUUAAGGUGGUGUCUGUGACUGGUACGAGGCAGAACUGUGCUUCCUUGAGAGUGUACUAAGCAUUCACUUUGCUUAGUUCUAGUCUGGGCACAGACACA
ensembl:snoRNA SNORA74 Small nucleolar RNA SNORA74